AGGACGAACGCUGGCGGCGUGCUUAACACAUGCAAGUCGAGCGGUAAGGCCUUUCGGGGUACACGAGCGGCGAACGGGUGAGUAACACGUGGGUGAUCUGCCCUGCACUCUGGGAUAAGCCUGGGAAACUGGGUCUAAUACCGGAUAUGACCUGCUCUCGCAUGGGGGUGGGUGGAAAGAUUUAUCGGUGCGGGAUGGGCCCGCGGCCUAUCAGCUUGUUGGUGGGUAAUGGCCUACCAAGGCGACGACGGGUAGCCGACCUGAGAGGGUGACCGGCACACUGGGACUGAGACACGGUCCAGACUCCUACGGGAGGCAGCAGUGGGAAUUUGGACAAUGGGCGCAAGCCUGAUCCAGCAAUGCCGCGUGCAGGAUGAAGGCCUUCGGUUGUAAACUGUCUUUAGUACGGAACGAAACGGUUCUCGUCUAAGUACAGGGCUAAUGACGUACCGUAAGAAUAAGCACCGCGUAACUACGUGCCAGCAGCCGC
rnacentral:rRNA from 1 species